UCGCUCUCCUCUGCCUCGCUCGCUCGCUCCCUCCUUCUUGUUCUUUUAGCCUAGAAGAAGCUGGAGCGGAGAGGCGCGAGCCAAUCAGGCGGGGAAAAAGGAGUCUUCGUUUAGGAAAGGGGAGCGUAGCUAGGUCCGAGUGCGCUGGAGGAGCGAAGGAGAGCAGAGGCUGAGAGGCAAAGAGGAGCGGCUCUAUCUUGGACGCGGGAAGUCCAUAUGGAUUGAGUGCCUAACUGACCUUGGGAACCCAGAGGAGGCAGCAAGACAUUUAAGGGAGGAAACAGGGCUGUUGCAGAAAAAAGAGAAGAAUCUCAGAAGCUUGAGAAAGAGACUCAGAGUAACCCUGCCUUAAUUACACUAGCCAUAAAAGCAAUUGGCUUGCUCAGCCCUGAAGACUACACCAAAAAUAGUUCAUGAACUUGGGGACUGAGGUGAAUUUGCAUUAUUCGAUGGCAUGCCAAUGACAGAACCUAAAUAGAAUAAUCUUAAAAAGUUUUGUUGCUUAGAAUCUAACAUAUUACUCAUGCUGUGUAACAUUCCUGCUGGGAUAUUUCUGGCCUGAAUCAAUAAAGUGUUUGUUACUUUAUAAAUAAUAAAUGUUAAGAAAAAAAUUGAUUUCCCCAUGUUUAAAAGUUGGCUUUAUUUUCCCUAUCACAUCUUUGACAUUUAUUUCUAUGAGAUGGCCAGCUAGAAUACUGUUUUCUUAUACAUAUACAAGUUGAGCAAAUGCAUUUCAGAGAGUUACAUGGCUGCAGUUUGUACAUUGUCUUCUCUGGUUCGCUGAAUUCCAUAGGAAUUCAAAUGACAAUAUAGUCUCAAUAAUUUUGGAGCAUUCUGCUUCUCCUAUUUUUGACUGAUUAUGUGCCAUCAAGUUGAUGUUAACUCUUAGGGACCACAUAAAUAGACCUUCCGGGUAAUCUGUCCCCAUCUUAGCCCUUCAGUUCUUCCAGUGAUGUACCCAUCACCACUGUAAUCAAGUCCAUCCACCUUAUUGCUGGUGAUCCUCUUUCCUUCCACCUUUCCCAGCAUUUCUUAAUGGAGCUGGGUCUUCAUGCAAUAUGUCCUAAAAUGUGAUCAUUUGAGCCUGGUCAUUUGUGCCUCGAGUGAGAGCUCCAGGUCCUGAAAUUCUCCCCCU